UCCCUGGUGGUCCAGUGGUUAGGACUCAGUGCUACCACUACUGUGGCCCAGGUUCAAUCCGUGGCCAGGGAA